CUAGUUCUUAAAGUGUUUAUAUAAAAAAAGGAAAAAAAAAAAAAACGAAAAUAUUAAUAAAAAGAGCUCCUUUAAAGAAACGAAUGUGAUUUUCGGGCUAACUGAGACUAAAUACAUUGACGCCAAAAUUGUAAACAAAUGCUGAAGACUUUAAAUGUCGAUGCCGCUGGGGAAUAAUUUGCAAACGAAAACUUUAUGAACGACAAAGAAAAAACUUUAAAAGGACACGAGACUGGUCGGAGGCGGAUAAAGAAAUACCUACUUCAAGAAAUCCAAAAAUCCGAAUUUAAAUUCAAAGAACAUGACUGGAAAAUGUUGAAGAGAUACGUUCGCGACUGCAAACCACCUCCAAGCAAUCUUGUUUAGGUGAAAACUGCAGUGAAAGAACAAGAAGAGACUCGUGCGUAAUUUUGAGCAGGAGUGCAUUUUAAGUAAAAUGUUUUUAUACAUGAUUUUUCAAUUUUUUUCUCGUUUUUUUUCAAGUAAAAUUUAUUAUAAUUAGUAGAUAUUUGGGCUAUAGCUUGUGUAAUAAAUAACCAAUAUGAACAGAAGAACCGGUACCAGAAAGCUGAAUUUGAAAUUUGAACUCAAAUAACUUUUUGUUGAAAAUUAUAACUUUUCCAUCGAUAUGGAUCCUACAUAUUACAUAUUUAAAAUUGAAGAAAACUUAACUAUUUAAAAAAAAAGCGAAAAAACAAAUUUUUUAUGUUCAUACUCAAUAGCUUACUUGUAUUCAGGUACCAAUUCUUCUGUUCUGUUUUGAAGCAAAUUUGGACUCCUGAUUUGGAUAAAAAAAAGCAAAAUAUUACAGAAAAAUAUAUACUUCAGAUCAAAGGUAAUUAUAGCGAAAAUAGUGAUGAGCAGAGCUCUGUUAACAGUUUUGAAUUCAGCACACUCAAGUUCUUGCUCC